rnacentral:lncRNA from 1 species
AAGAUCUGGGCAUAAUACUUUCUAUCAGAUUUUUAAAUUAGAAUGAGUUAAAAAAAAUCAGAUGGGAAGUACAGAGUUAUCUAGACACCGUUGAGAAAUAGUUUCACUUGUACUUUCCACAUUACAGCCAAUUUGCCCAUCCUUUCCGUAUAAGAAAUUCGAAGCAUUUGAGGAAAGAAAGAAAAGCGAAGAAUGAGGGUACUGAAAUGCUUGGAACAACAACGGAAGAAGAUGGCACUGAUGAAGAGAAGGAAACCAGAGAAUUGCUUCUCCACUGAGUUGAAUGCAAACCUUCCAGAGCAGAGAAGAAUGUCCCAGUUAGGCAAGCCUAACAGUUCAUUUUAG